rnacentral:rRNA from 1 species
CUACGGGAGGCAGCAGUGAGGAAUAUUGGUCAAUGGGCGGCAGCCUGAACCAGCCAUACCGCGUGCAGGAAGGCGGCCUUAUGGGUUGUAAACUGCUUUUAUAAUGGGAUAGUGGUUAUAUCGUGAAUAUGACAGGGAAGGUACAUUAUGAAUAAGUAUCGGCUAACUCCGUGCCAGCAGCCGC